rnacentral:rRNA from 1 species
GACGAACGCUGGCGGCGUGCUUAACACAUGCAAGUCGAACGGAAAGGCCCUGCUGUUGUGGGGUGCUCGAGUGGCGAACGGGUGAGUAACACGUGAGUAACCUGCCCUUGACGUUGGGAUAACUUCAGGAAACUGGGGCUAAUACCGGAUAGGAGGUCCUGAUGCAUGGUGGGGGUGGGAAAGUUUCGGCGGAUGGGGAUGGACUCGCGGCUUAUCAGGUUGUUGGUGGGGUAGUGGCUUACCAAGGCUUUGACGGGUAGCCGGCCUGAGAGGGUGACCGGCCACAUUGGGACUGAGAUACGGCCCAGACUCCUACGGGAGGCAGCAGUGGGGAAUAUUGCACAAUGGGCGGAAGCCUGAUGCAGCAACGCCGCGUGCGGGAUGACGGCCUUCGGGUUGUAAACCGCUUUCGCCUGUGACGAAGCGUGAGUGACGGUAAUGGGUAAAGAAGCACCGGCUAACUACGUG